rnacentral:rRNA from 1 species
GAUGAACGCUGGCGGCAUGCCUAACACAUGCAAGUCGAUCGGUAAGGCUCUUCGGAGCACACGAGAGGCGGACGGCUGAGUAACGCGUAGGAACACACCCUGCAGUGAGGGAUAAGACACCGAAAGGUGUUCUAAUACCGCAUACGGUCUUCGGAUUAAAGCAUUUAUGCGCUGAAGGAGUGGCCUGCGUCAUAUUAGAUAGUUGGUGAGGUAAUGGCUCACCAAGUCGAUGAUGUGUAGCUGGUCUGAGAGGAUGAUCAGCCAGACUGGAACUGAGACACGGUCCAGACUCCUACGGGAGGCAGCAGUGAGGAAUAUUUCACAAUGAGCGAAAGCUUGAUGGAGCAAUGCCGCGUGCAGGAUGAAGGCCCUCGGGUUGUAAACUGCUUUUAUAAGAGAAGAUUAUGACGGUAACUUAUGAAUAAGGGACGGCUAACUACGUG